CACCAUGGCCAAAUCACCCUGCAGGGGCUGAGCCUGGUCAGUACCUGGAUGGGAGACCACAUGGGAAUACUAAGUUGCUGUUAGAU
rfam:Danio rerio chromosome 3, GRCz11 reference primary assembly.